rnacentral:rRNA from 1 species
AGUGAACGCUGGCGGCGUGCCUAAUACAUGCAAGUCGAACGGAGUGGCGCACGGGUGAGUAAUGUAUAGCUAAUCUGCCCUACACUAGAGGACAACAGUUGGAAACGGCUGCUACUACUCUAUAGUGUAGGAUGAGGCUAUAUUGUAUACGCUAGGUGGUGAGGUAAUGGCUCACCAAGGAGAUGACGCAUAACUGGUCUGAGAGGAUGAUCAGUAACACUGUAACUGAGACACGGUCGAGACUCCUACGGGAGGCAGCAGUAGGGAAUAUUGCUCAAUGGGGGAAACCCUGAAGCAGCAACGGCGCGUGGAGGAUGACACUUUUCGGAGCGUAAACGCCUUUUGUUAGGGAAGCGGUACCUAACGAAUAAGCACCGGCUAACUCCGUGCCAGCAGCCGCGGUAAUUC